AUAUAUAUGUUUAUAUUAUAAAAGAAAUUUGUUUUAUAAAAGCAGAUUAGCUUGUUAUAUUCUUUCAUUUAUAUUUAAUUUAAGGAUAAUUGUGUUAUUUAAAAUUAUAUAAUCUAUAAAAAUAUUAUACAUUAUUAUCACUAUUAUACUUAUCUUUUAAUAGAAAAUGCCUAAAAUGGAUGGAAUGUCAAAAAAAAAUUUGUUUAAUUAAAUAAUUUAUUAAUUAAUUACCCGGAUUUAUGGCUUCAUUUUGGCUAAGAAUGCCAGUGAAAUCUUCGGCUUUGCUGAGAGUGCCAUUUGAAUUGGGAAUGGAAUGAUGAUUCCUACUUUGAUUUUAUUUUUAUGUUUGGUAUAUUAUCUUUGUAUAAAUCAUCAUUCUAUUUGAAAUCACCAUAUAUAUAUAUAUGAAUUAUCAUUUCUUCCGCCUACUAUGAUAUUAGUCAUUGCAUUCUAUUUUUAAUAAAAGUAUUUUAUUGAAUAAAAAAAUAUUUUAAAAUAAUAUUAUGGACAUACCAAAAUAGUAAAAGUUGAAACUAUAUCAUGGACGGAGGGAGUAUAAUAAAAGAAUUUCUCAGAACAUAGUGAAAUAUUUUCUCGGACAACUCCUUUUCAUUUAUUUUAUUUCCAAUGGUAAUUGAUAGUUUUUGGGUAGUGGCGUGGAAAUAUUUUCAAUAUUUAGUAUGAUAAUUUUGAUAAUUUGAUCACCUAUUUCCAACAAAGUAAACAAGUGUAUAAUCUUAGAUAAGUUUUUUUUUUUCAUCAAUACUCCCUCCAUCCUAUUCUAGCAGGGUCGUCCCUAUUCUAGCAGGGUCGUUUUCCUUUCUGAGACGUCUCACUAGAAUAUGUUUGUUUUCGAUUUUGAGAAAAAAAAAUGUUUAAUUUAUGUGAACCAACUCCUAAAAUAUAAGUUUAUUAAUUUUCGUAUCCAAAAGAAAUGAGCGUAUUAGAAUAUGACAGAAGGAGUAUAAGAUAAAAAAGCGAAGUAAAAUAAUAUUUACUUUCGUCUUUUUUUUAUUUAUCGUUUUUCAAUAAAAAAUUUACCAUUAAAAUAACCGCAAACUUAAUAAAGAUAUUAUCCAAUCCAUCUUUAGGAAGCAUGGGAUCAAAUUCAAAUACUUGCAUCAUUUUGGUAAUGGAAAUAGAAAGAAGUAAGGCGUUAACUUUUUCAGAAAAAAGCAGCAAGAAUCGAAAAUCUUGGAAAAAGAGAACGAAAGAUGAAAAUGCAGAUUUCAAAAUUAGAUUCUCGAAAAGGAAACAAUUGCCAAGUGUAUUGAGAAAAAAAAAAAAAAAAAAAACAAUUGUCAAAAUUAAAUCUUUUCCAUUUCUAGCAUUCAUGCAAUAUCAAUUAUGACAGGGAAUCUUCUUCUUUAAUUGGGAGAUCCUAUUUGUGAAAAACACCACCAUUAAUUCUCACCUAUAAUCUAAUCUCUCUGUGUUUCUGGCCUUUAUAAUCUGCUAACUCCUUCUCCACCUCUCAUCUCUCUUCCUCUCUCUUCCCUACCCAAACCCUUUUCCCUCUCUCUCCUCUGCCACUGUUCGUCGGUGGAAAGCAUCGGCGGCAGCAGCGGCGCUGCCUCAUCUCUCCCUUGACCUCCAAUAGACCACAGCUCCAAACACACAUAGCCGCACACCAGGUGUUCGAUUAAAGGAGAUAGAAAUUCGGAGGGGUGUUUUUGGGGGCACCUAUUAACUGAAUCCCCAAGCCGAUGGAAUUAUCCCAUUUUUUCAGAGUUUUGAAGGAGAUGAGAUGGGUGUUUGCUAGUUGUAUUGUUGGCAUGGGCAGCAUUGGAAAUAUAUGGCUAAAACUCUCCAAUCAGGUGGCAAGAGUCAGACGAGCUGCUGACCAGCUUCAUACUCGGUGACUCCUGCCGUCCAUGCUGCAUGCCAGGCAUCCACGUAUCGCCCUAGGAAUAUCCCGAGGGGCUCAGCUGGGUCCCACCGGCACAGCCAAAAUCUCCUAAGUCUUUCCUCCAUCUCUGUAGUAUAUGUCAUUUGAUCGAUCGCGCUCCUAUGCUCGGUAAAAUGUGGGGGUGGAUGUGGUGGCUCCAUCUGAAAAAUAGGUUAUGUAUCAAAUACUAGCAAUAAAACGAAACGAGUAGAAGAAACUUAAACAGUUCCUAGGGUCCAUCUUCUAUAUUUGAACAUCAUGUGUGAUACUCAAGGUUCUGCUAAUGCUAUCUACGUAAUUCUACUACUAUCUCAUAGGUAUUUCUAGCUUUCCAUCUUAUCGCAACAAUCUGUGGGGUUCUUGGUUCUUAACACUCUUUUAAAACCUUCUUUAUUAGCA